rnacentral:lncRNA from 1 species
GUUGGGGGGGCAAACACAUACACAUAUAUAUGUGUACAACAGACUUUUUUCAGUUUCCGUCUACCAAAUCCACUCACAAGGCUUUGGUCAGCCCGAGGCUAUAGUAGAAGACACUUGCCCAAGGUGCCACACAGUGGGACUGAACCCAGAACCAUGUGGUUGGUAAGCAAGCUACUUACCACACAGCCACUCCUGUGCCUAUAUAUAUAUAUAUAUAUACAUAUGUACCAAAAGGUGUUGAGUUGGCAGCAUCACUUGCAGGCUGGGCAAAGUGCUUAACAGUAUUUCAUCCAUUUUUACGUUCUGAGUUCAAAUUCUGCUGAGGUCAGCUUUGCCUUUCAUCCUUUCGGGGUUAAUAAAAUAAGUACCAGUUGAGCACUGGGGUCAAAAUAAUCGACUAAAUCCCUCCUCGAAACUGCUGGCCUCACACCAAAAUUGGUAACCAAUAGAUAUGUACCAAAAGGCAGUGAGCUGGCAGAAUUGUUAGCAUACUGAGCAAAGUGCUUAGUGGCAUUUCAUCUUUUUAAAGUUAUGAGUUCAAAUUCCACUGCGAUAAACUUUACUUUUCAUCAUUCUAGGGUCAGUUCUAAGUUCAAGGAUGAAAUUUUGCCUUUCAUUCUUUUGGGGUCGAUGAAACAAGAAUCCGUUGAGCACUGGGGUUGAUGCAACUGACUAGAUUACUUCUCUCGAAAUUGCUGGCCUUGUGCAAAAUUUUGGAACCAAAAUAUGUACCAAAAGGUGGUGAGCUCAUAGAAUCAUUACCGUACCAGACCCAAUACUUAGCAGUAUUUGGUCUUUCUCUACAUUCAUCAUCAUCAUCAUCAUUCUUUUAUUCUUUUACUUGUUUCAGUCCUUUGACUGAGGCCAUGCUGGAGCACCACCUUUAGUGGAACAAAUAGACCCCAGGAAUAUUGUUUGUAAGCUUAGUAUUCAUAUUAUCCGUCUCUUUUGCCAACCCGCUAAGUUACGGGAAUGUAUACACACUAACAUAGAUUGUCAAACGAUGAUCAGGGGACAAACACAGACAGACAAAUACGUACAUAUAUAUAUAUAUGUACAAGGGGCUUCUUUCAGUUUCCAUCUUCCAUAUCCACUCACAAGGCUUUGGUCAGCCUGAGGCUAUAGUAGAAGAUACUUGCCCAAGGUGCUGCACAGUGGGACUAAACCUGGAACCAUGUGGUUACGAAGCAAUCUUCUUACCACACAGCCACUCCUGUGCCUACAACUUAAUAUAUACAUAUAUACAACUAUAACUUUAUAUAUUUUUAGGAGUGGCUAUGUGGUAAGUAGCUUACUUACCAACCGCAUGAUUCCGGGUUCAGUCCCACUGUGUGGCACCUUGGGCAAGUGUCUUCUACUAUAAGCCUCAGGCCGACAAAAGCCUUGUGAGUGGAUAUGGUAAACAGAAACUGACAGAAGCCCGUCAUGUGUGUGUGUGUGAGUGUGUGUUCUCCCACCAUCGCUUGACAACUGAUUGUUGGUGUGUUUAUGUCCCCAUAACUUAGUGGUUUGGCAAAAGAGACCAAUAGCAUAAGUACUGGGCUUACAAAGAAUAAAUCCUGGGGUCGAUUUGUUCGACUAGAAGCAGUGCUCCAGCAUGACCACAGUCAAAUGACUGAAAGAAAUAAAAAAAUAUAUAUGUAGAUAUAGAUAUAUAGUGUAUUUCUUUCAGUUUCUGUUGUUAUAGUAGAAGCCACUUAUUCAAGGUGACACGGUGUUGGAUUAAACCUAGAACUGAGUGGUUGGGAAGGAACCUCCUUCACCACACAGUCACACUUGUGUGUAUGUUACGCCUGCCCCUAUAGUUGUACAAGUCCCGCAGCUACCUUCUGUAUGAAGAUCUUAUAAUUUACUUUUGGUUGGUGGGGGAGGGGCGCAUAUUUGAUAUGCCAAACUGUAAUUAAAAUGUAAUGAAUUAGAAUUAUAAAUGUAAUGAGAAGAAAACUCGUGAUUGCAAAUUCUUUCUCAUCAGGGGUGAAGGAGAGACCUGUUAGAACUUCAGUCAACCAAAUUUUAAAUUAAAUCAUACAUGGCUGCUAACAGGAGCAAUGAGUCAUAUUUUUCUUUGCUCUGGUGACAACACAGGGUGUGUUUUGAAAUUAAUGUAGUCUUUUCAGCUAGGACGUCCUGUAAGAAACAUGUCCACACAAAGUUGGGCUCGUGGGGUCGGCUAUCCUGUUCUUUUGGCUUCAUAUGUCCCUUUUUGUUUGUUUGUUCUUGUUCAAUUUCAUUUUCAUUUUCAUUGUAAAUAAUUCAUUCGAUGUAAAUAGUUCCAUUUCACCCACAAGACCCCAAAAUCAUUGUAUUGUCCCCAUCUAUGUAAACCCUUAUGGGUAAUAAAGAAAUACAAGGUGACACAAAAUUAGCUGAGCACUAAGUCACUUAGUAAAGAAUGUGUGUGUGUGUGUGUGUGUGUGUGUGUGUGAUAAUUUAAUGCCUGUUUACUUUUGGUUGGUGGGGGAGGGGCGCAUAUUUGAUAUGCCAAACUGUAAUUAAAAUGUAAUGAAUUAGAAUUAUAAAUGUAAUGAGAAGAAAACUCGUGAUUGCAAAUUCUUUCUCAUCAGGGGUGAAGGAGAGACCUGUUAGAACUUCAGUCAACCAAAUUUUAAAUUAAAUCAUACAUGGCUGCUAACAGGAGCAAUGAGUCAUAUUUUUCUUUGCUCUGGUGACAACACAGGGUGUGUUUUGAAAUUAAUGUAGUCUUUUCAGCUAGGACGUCCUGUAAGAAACAUGUCCACACAAAGUUGGGCUCGUGGGGUCGGCUAUCCUGUUCUUUUGGCUUCAUAUGUCCCUUUUUGUUUGUUUGUUCUUGUUCAAUUUCAUUUUCAUUUUCAUUGUAAAUAAUUCAUUCGAUUUCGACUGUAAAUAGUUCCAUUUCACCCACAAGACCCCAAAAUCAUUGUAUUGUCCCCAUCUAUGUAAACCCUUAUGGGUAAUAAAGAAAUACCACACAAAAUUAGCUGAGCACUAAGUCACUUAGUAAAGAAUGUGUGUGUGUGUGUGUGUGUGUGUGUGUGUGAUAAUUUAAUGCCUGUUUACUGUGCUGAUAUAGGUUCGAUAGCUUGACAUGGCUAGACCCCAGUUGACCCGUCCAACCCAUGCUAGCAUGUUACGCAUCCUACUCAAUGAUGAUGAUGAUGAUGAUGAUAGGGUGCCCAAACAUACACAUACAUGCACAUGCACACACACACACACACACACACACACAUACACACACAAGGUGGUGUUUGAAAGUUCCUGGCUUUGGGUAAAAGAAAAUACGGGAGGAUCAAUUAUUCUAUGCUAAUUUAGUUAAUUUUGUCAAGCCUCCUUUUCAGUUUGUCAUGACUCAGAAAGGUAACUUUACCUACUUUACCUUUACCAUCUGGUCCUCAAUAAUAUAUAUUCAUCUAACCCUUCCUAGUGAAGGAAACAAGCGUAGAACAAGGUAAAGGGUGACACACACACACACGCACACAUACACACCACAAAACACACACACACAUUACAGGCUCCUCCUUUCAGUUUUUGUUUACCAAAACUACUCACACAGGCUUCGCGGGUCGGCCUUGGCUAGUAGAAGCAUCCACUUGCCCAAAGUGCAGAUGUAAUGGGACUGAACCCGGAAGCCAUGUGGUCACGGAAAGCCAGUGUCUUACAACACAGCCACGCCAUGCUAGCGGACGCUAUAUAUAUAUAUAUGUAUAUAUAUAUAUAUUAUUAUUAUUAUUAUUAUUAUUAUUAAGGGGACGAGUUUAGAAUCAUUAAUUAUAAAAUAAUAUGAAACUAUUAUUCUAUGCUAAUUUAGUUAAUUUUGUCAAGCCUCCUUUUCAGUUUGUCAUGACUCAGAAAGGUAACUUUACCUACUUUACCUUUACCAUCUGGUCCUCAAUAAUAUAUAAUCUAAAGUGAAGGAACACGCGUACACACUGGGGUUGAUGUAACGACUUAACCAAAUCUCCCACUGCCCAAGUGCAAGCUGCCCUUGCAGCAAUAAUUUGAAUCAUCAUCAUCAUCAUUCCGGUUGAAUUAUUAUUAUUGUUGUUGUUGUUAUAUCCUGAAAAGCUAUUUAUAUUUCCUGGAAUUGUUUAAUUAAUUAGAGACCUCAUCUAUUUUCACAUUGCUAUUUACUGGAGCAUAAAAUGUUUUUGACUCCAGUGUUUUGAGACACAGCCUAAUGUGAUAUGCUGCCAUAUAUAUAUGUAUAUAUUCUCUAUUAUUUCUGGCGAAAGAAUCCACUUGGGAAUAACUGUAGUCUGUGGGCGUGUGUGUGUGUAUAAAUAUUUAUGUGAUUGUAAGUGUGUGUGCGUGUGUAUGCAUUGGUGUGUGUAUGAGUGAAUAUAUUUUCUUAUGAAUACAUAUAAUCAAACAGACACUUACUCUUCCAUACAGCCACUUGCAUUCACAUAUACAUACAUAUAUACAGACAUACAUACAUAUACAUAUAUAUGUCCCAUAUAUAUUCUUUUAUUCUUUUACUUGUUUCAGUCAUUUGACUGUGGCCAUGCUGGAGCAUCGCCUUCAGUCGAACAAAUCGACCCCAGGACUUAUUCUUUGUAAGCCUAGUACUUUUUCUAUUGUUCUCCUUUGCUGAACUGCCAAGUUAUGUGGAUGUAGACACACAAACGUCUGUUGUCAAGCAAUGGUGGGAGAACAAAGACAGACAGGCCUCACCAAGGAAAUGACUAGUGACCGAGAUUUUGGAAAUAUGCUGUGCUUGAAGACCUGGCAAGCCAAAUGAGACCAUAACCUGUGGCCUAUGCCAGGAGCGUAACUAGCCCGCUUAUGUGUACCUUUUCCUUCUUGGUCACUAAACUCUGCUUGAAAAGACCUGUUGAGGCAAGUGAAAUCAAAACCAAAAUCAAAUUUGAUGACUGGCAUCCGUGCAAACAGGGUGCAAAGAGCACCAUACGAGUGUGAUCGUUUGACAGAGCAGUUAACUGACUUCCCGGCUAACCGGCUUCUGUGCCAGUUGCACAUAAAAGGGCACCAUUCGAGUGUGAUCGUUUCACCAUGCACUUGUGCCCAUGCUUGUAGGGUGCCAAGAACACCAUCCGAAUGUAAUUGUUGCCAGAGCAGCCAACCGGCUUCCGUGCCGGUGGCACGUAAAAGGGAAACAUUCGAGCGUGUAAAAAGAUGCGAGCAAGGUCAUUGCCAGUACCGCCUGACUGGCCCCUGUGCCGGUGGCACGUAAAAAGCACCCACUACACUCUCAGAGUUGUUGACGUUAGGAAGGGCAUCCAGCUGUAGAACCUCUGCCAGAUCAAGAUUGGAGCCUGGUGCAGCCAUCUGGUUCGCCAGCCCUCAGUCAAAAUCGUCCAACACAUGCUAGCAUGGAAAGCGGACGUUAAACACGAUGAUGAUGAUAUAUAUAUAUAUAUAUAUAUAUAUAUGACAGGCUUCUUUCAGUUUCUGUUUACCAAAUCCUCUCAUAAUGUUUUGGUCAGACCCGAGGCUAUAGUAGAAGACACUUGCCGAAGGUGCCAUGCAGUGGGACUGAACCUGGAACCAUGUGGUUGGUAUACAAGCUAUUUACCACACAGCCACUUCUGUGCCUAAUAUCAAUGUGUAUGCUGAGUGUAUGCGUGUGUGUGCACGCAUGUGUUUUGUUCAGUUUUAUAUCUGCUUUUACAUGUUGGUAGGGGUUAGACAAAAACUUGCCCAGGUAGAUUUUCUAUAGCUGGACUCACUUCCUGACACCAACCCUUACCUUUUUUUCAAUUAAGGUGUUUUUUUAAUUUUAUUUUGAUAUGUGAUCCUCACACUGAAUGUUUAGAUGCAAGCAAUACACACACACACACACACAAAACCAUAUAGAUAGACAGACAGACAGGCAGGCAGACAGACAGAUAGGUAGAUAACUUGAUAGAUAGAUAGGUAGGUAGCUAGGUAGGAAUAUAGAUAGAUAGAUUGAUAGAUAUGCAUACACUUAAUAACUUGUUUGGUAUACCCUUAAGUAGUGUACCCUUAAAUCCCUGUUUCUAAGAUAUCUAUUUCUUUAUUACCCACAAGGGGCUAAACACAGAGGGGACAAACAAAGACAGACAUAGGUAUUAAGUCGAUUACAUCGACCCCAGUGCGUAACUGGUACUUAAUUUAUCGACCCCGAAAGGAUGAAAGGCGAAGUCGACCUCGGCGGAAUUUGAACUCACAACGUAAUGCAGACGAAAUACCACUAAGCAUUUCGCCCGGCGUGCUAACGUCUCUGCCAGCUCGCCAUCACUGUAUCAUUUGAUUUACCCUUAUGCACCAAGGGACUGUGUCUAAGUGCUUGCAGUAUAGCAGGUUCUGCUAACAAUUAAGGUAUGGGUGGUAGCAAAAGUUGGGGUGGUGUCAGAAGUGGUGGUUGUUAUGGGGGUGAUGGUGACUGGGGGGAUAGUGGCAAUGAUGGUGGUGGUUGUGGGGAGUAGAUGAUUAUAGUUAUGGAGGUGGUGGCAGCUGUUAGAUGGUGGUGGUGAUGGUGGUGGAAAUAGUAGUGGCAGUGAUGGUGGUGGCGGUGUUGUUUGCGGUGGUGGUGGUGGUGAUGGUGUUGUUUCCGGUUGUGGCGAUUGUAGUUGUGGUGGUGGUGGUGGUGGUGACAUUUAAACUGCGCGACAGAUUCUGACAGAUUCAGUAUACCUCCCAUCUUCAUCAUCUUAAUCAUCAUCAUCAUCAUCAUCAUCAUCGUGUUUCCAUACUUCCGUGUUUCUAAAUUAGCAUUUCUUCUCUACUAAAGCAAAAAUAACCACAACCACAACAACAACAACAACAACAACAGUACAGCAACAACAACAACAAAAUAUUUCAAAAACAAAUGCGACAAACUAUAACAAAAAAAAAAAAAAACAGAAACAAAAUUGAAAAGCAAAAAUCUACAAAUUUUCUCCGAAUUAUACCAGCGAGAAACAACCUUAGUCGAAAGAGAGAGUGAAAGUCACCAUUCCGUCUAGUGUACCAAAACUGACUUCUAUCGGUAACCGUCUUCAGCACUUUAAAAGCUGGUGAUCAACAGAUCAAUAUUAACCGAAUCAAUAAAGUCUUAAAAUGUAAUUUCCACUCGGUUGGGUCUCACAAGUGUUUUUUGUUUCUUUGUACAUUUGUUGUUGUUGGUAAUGUUGUUGUUGUUGUUGUUGUUUUUUAAAAUAUACCAAAAAAUAAAAGUACUGAAAAAAAAAAGAAAAAGAAAAAAAAACACCCAUUAUAUAAACAAAAAUAAAUCCACUUGCAAUCACUGAGAAAACUUUAAAUUGAAUUUUAAAAGUCAAAAAUUCUUUGAAACAUGUCUGUCUGUUUGUCUAUCUAGAGUGUUGUUUCUGUAGUGCCUCUGUGUAUUGGUUCUCGAUUUCUGCCUUCUUGUUCCACGCUCCUCCCCCCCUCAUUCCCUUUAUUUUAUGUUGACCCCUCUCCCCAGUUCGCUUUCCCACCUUUCACACCAUCUCUCAUGUCUCUGUCUUUCUCUUUAAUUCUUGUUUUCUUCCUUUGUUUUUUUCUUCCUGUUUCUUGCUUACCCACAUCUCUCAGUCUCUCCUCCUUGCUCUCCUUCUCUUCUUCUUACUCCCCACCUCCAUUACUCUCUCUAUUUCUCAUUCGUUCCUUCUGUAUGCAUGUGUGUGUAUGUAUGUAUAUAUAUAUAUAUAUGCACACACAUGCACACGUGUGCUCAUACACACACAUAUGUACAGGAAUGCAUGCCCAAACAUUCUUACACAUGUACUCGCACACAUGCUUGCACACACACACACACACACACAGUCACACACACACAGUCACACACACACACAUGCAUAAACAUGCAUGUAUGCAAGCUCAAGCACAUGCUUACACACACUCAUGUACACACACAAGCAUGUAUGAACAGAUGCUCAGAUGCAUGCACACAUGCUUUCAUCCAAGAAUGAACACAUGUGUGCACGCAUCCUCACACAUGUCACACACACACAAACAUAUGCAAACACAUGCAUACUCCCCUGUCCCCCCCCCACACACACAUUCUCUUCCCUGUACUCUCCUCCCCUUUUUUCUCUCUCCUUCCUCCCCCAACCAAAUCCUAUUUCCUCUCCGCCCACUUCUCCUUCAGACCAACACCCCUUUUCUUGAUCCAUAUGUAACUCACCUGUCUAUGACCCCACUUUUUUUUCUCUUUCUCUCUUUCAAGUGUGCAAUCUCCCACCUUUAACUUGUUACCUAUCCCCACCCACCCCACCCACAUCAAAGUCUUUCUCUCUAUCACCACUACCACCACCACCACCACCACCAUCAUUCACAUACACUCUCUCCCUCAUUCUUUCUUUCUCUCUCUCUCUCUCUGCUUCAAUCACCAAUCUAAGUUACAUAAUUACAAACUAGACAACAUUAAACAGCAAAAGAAAAUGAACAAAAUUGCAUAACCAAACAAAAAAUAACUAAAUAAAUUAAAAGCAAAAGAAAACAACAAAACAAAAACAAAGCAAGGAAAUAUUUAAAGAACUGAAAACAAACAAAUUAACAAUCAAUUAAAUAAACAAAUAAAUGAUAAAACAAAUAUUAUAAAUAAAUAAAAAUUUAAAUGAAUAAAAUGGAAAACAAAAUUAACCAUUUUCCAAACCACUGCUUCCUUCUGGCUCCCUUGCACCUCCCACCAACCAUUUCAUUACACAACAUGGACUUGAAUUAACUUAGGGUACAUAUUAUCAAUGCAGUGAAUUGGUCGUUUUGGGAGAGUGUUUGCUGGUUUAGAAGGCAUCGCAUUCAUCAUCAUCAUCAUCGUCGUCGUCAUCGUUGUUUAAUGACUGCUUUCCAUGCCGGCAUGUGUUCGACGGUUUGACCGAGCACUGGCGAGCCAGGAGGCGGCACCAAACUCCAAUCUGAUCUGGCAAGGUUUCCACAGCUUGAUGUCCUUCCUAAUGCCAGCCGCUCCAAGAGUGUAGUGGGUGCUCUUUAUGUGCCACCGGCAUGGGAGCUAGUCAGGCAGCACUGGCAUUGAUCAUGCAUUUCAUCCAGCAUGCUAACGUUUCUGUCAGCUUGCCACCUUAGAAUAAAAAGAUAUUCUUUUCUACUCUAGGUACAAGGCCUGAAAUUUGGGGGGAGAAGGCCAGUCAAUUAGAUCGACACCAGUAUGCAACUGGUACUUAAUUUAUCGACCCCCAGAAGCAUGAAAAGCAAGUCAACCUUGGCGGAAUCUGAACUCAAAAUGUAAAGACAGACGAAAUACCACUAAGCAUUUCGCCCAGCGUGCUAACAUUUCUGCCAGCUCACCGCCUUAGCUUGAACUUAAUAUUCUUUUCUACUCUAGACGCAAGGACCAAAAUUUUUAGGGAGGAAGCCAGUCGAUUAGAUUGACUCCAGUACACAACUGGUACUUAAUUUAUUGACCCCGAAAAGAUGAAAGGCAAAGUUGACCUUGGCGGAAUUUGAACUCAGAAUGUAAAAACAGACAAAAUACCUAUUUCUUUACUACCCACAAGGGGCUAAACACAGAGGGGACAAACAAGGACAGACAAACGGAUUAAGUCGAUUACAUCGACCCAGUGCAUAACUGGUACUUAAUUUAUCGACCCCCCCUCCCCCGAAAGGAUGAAAGGCAAAGUCGACCUUGGUGGAAUUUGAACUCAGAAUGUAAAAACAGACAAAAUACCACUAAGCCUUUCACCCAUCAUGCUAAUGUUUCUGACAGCUUGUCACCUUAGAAUACAAAAAUAUUGCCUUUAAAUGGUAAGGAUGUUGUUUUUACCUGUUUCUAUUUUAUUGAUUACUCUCAAAGGUAAAAUGUCAAAGUUCAUCCUUUGCUGGAUUUGAAACCCCUCCACCACAAUGUGGAAGAUACAAGCUAAACAUUGAAACACAUUGUUUUCUUACUCUGCUAUUUUUAGCUGUCAACCCACUUAAUUUGUGUUUAUUUUUUACUAGCUCUUGAUGCCUGUUAAAUGUUUGAGAACAAUUUAGCAAAUUUCACAAGUAUGUCUGUUGUCCUCUGUUGUCUGUUGGGUUAUUAUUACUGGGACCUAAAUUAUAAAUAUCACAUUGUGGUGUGCAACAGCCAAAACAUUAUGGUCAAACUGGAUACCAAUUUCACAAUAACAUCAGAUACUUGACAGGUUCUUCUUGACAAGCUCUCUCUCUCUCUCUCUCUCUCCUCCUCACUAUCUGUCUCUCUCCAUAUAGAUGUCAGGUGUUGCUGUGGCUGUGUGGUCAUAAGUUCAGUUCUCUUGUGUGGCACUUUGGGCAAGUGUCCUCUUCUAUGGCUUCUGGCUGAAUGCCUUUUGAGUGAAUUUAGUAGAUAUAAACUAUUUAUUUGUUUAUGUGUGUGAAGGUAGAUAUGGUCAAGCAUUUUUUUUAGAAAUACUACCUUCGAGUUAUGGUCCCAAGUUUUAAUUCCCUUGUGUGCUACCUUUAGCAAGUCCCUAUUACAAUAUUCUUCAUAUAUUUUUCAACUGAUGCCCAAAGCCUUGCAUGUGAAACUGGAGAACCUUAUGUACAACCCUGCUGUAUUUGUAAGUCCAAGGGCCAGCUUUGUUAUGAUCUUUCUCAGGUUGAUUUAAUUUGAGAUUAAAUUUGAGAAUUAUAUUAAAGUUAAAAGUUUCUGUGGAAUCCUCAUUUACUGAAAUGCAAAGGUAUUGCUAUGUGUUUUAAGAAGCUCACUUUGCAACCACAUGGUUUUGCGUUCUGUCCCAUUGCAUGGCAUCUUUGACAAGAAUCUUCUACUAUAGUCUUAGGUCGACCAAUGCCUUGUGAGUAAAUUUAGUAAACAGAACCUAUAUGGAUGCCCAUCAUAUAUAAUAAUAAUAAUAAUAAUAAUAAAAACAUUGUGUACAGUGCUCAGGUGCACUACAACUCAUCUAAAGUGUAUGUAUAAUCAGGUGUAGUUUCGGCGGAUUUCGGAAAGCAUGAGGGCCUUAAAGGAACAUCACAUACAUGCACACUCACACAUACAUGAUGUGGGUACUGGAAAAUUGUUGACUUUUGGGGUAUCAUGAAAAGCCCAAUGUUCCGAGUUCUUUUGCAGGGCUUAGAAAAACUAAAGGGCCACUGGAAUAAGUGUGUGAAUCGAGAGAGGAAUGUGCUGAAUAAAAUCAUAACUGAUCUUCCUGUAUUUUCUCUUACGUGAAACCAGGAACUUUUCAGCACCCACUCAUGUAUGUGUGUGUGUGUGUGUGUAUAUACGUGUUUGUGUAUGUAUAUCUAUGUGUGUGUGUGUGUGUAUGCAUACACUUGUAUUAAUGUAGAAAGUUUUAUGCAAAUUCACUUGCAUUCUGUGUAUUCAAAACAUUUCGCUUUUCCUGUAUCUAUUCUUAGUAAACAUGCUAUCUUUCUCUCUCUAUCUAUCUAUCUAUCUAUCUAUCUAUCUCUCUGUCUGUCUGUCUAUCUCUCUCUCUCUAUCUCUCUGUCUGUCUGUCUCUGUCUCUCUCUAUCUAUCUCUCUGUCUGUCUGUCUCUGUCUCUCUCUCUCUUUUUCUUCACACACACUCUCGCACACAUAAAUGUGUGUCUGUGUAUAUAUAAGUUGCUGUGGUUAGCAAUUAGGAAAUGGUUUUAUUUUUACAAAGGGGAUGGUGAUGGUAUUGUCAAUGGUGAGGCAUGUCAGUAUAGGUGUGGUCUUCAUGGUUUUGGUAGUUGUAAUGGUAGUGGAAGUGGUUGUAGUGGGGGAUGUCUGUGAUGUGAUGGUGAUGUGUGCUUGACUGUGUGUGUGUGUGCGUACGUGUCAAUGUUGGAGGAAGAUUUAGAGAUAAAUGUAGUAGCAGUGAAGGUGCAUGGCUCAGUGGUUAGAGCGUCGAGUUUACGAUCGUGAGGUUGUGAGUUCGAAUCCCGGACUGGACUGUGUUGUUGUGUUCUUGAGCAAGACACUUUAUUUCACAUUGCUCCAGUUCACUCAGCUGUAGAAAUGGGUUGCAAUGUCACAGGUGCCAAGCUAUAUCAGCCUUUGCCUUUCUUGGAUAACAUCAGUGAUGUGAAGCAGGGAGGCUGGUAUGUAUGGGCAAAUGCUGGCCUUCCAUAAACAACCUUGCCCGGACUUGUGCCUGGGAGGGUAACUCUCAAGGUGCACUCCCACGGUCAGUCAUGACCGAAAGGGGUCUCAAGUGGACAUUCUGCUGUUGUUGUUAUUGUUGGUUGGACCUCAGGACAGUCUAGAUUGGGUGGGAGGAUGCAAACUUGUGAUAAAGGCAUUCCAAUCAAGACCAUUCUGUCCUUUUAAGGGGCAUCUAAGUAUACAUCAUCCAAUGUGUCCUUCUUGGUUUCAAGAUGGUAUUGUGUGAUUUGAAGGAUAUGUAGCUGUUAUUUUAAGCAGGUCAAGAACCAUCUACAAACUGAUUUUUUGUUUUUGUAUUGUUCUUGUAUUUGAUCCCUAGAUUAUCCCUGAUUAAGAUUUAUUGUGCUUGAGAAGACAUGUCAGAUUAGGUGAAAUUGCAGUCGUGACCAGUGCCAGUGACACAUGAAAGGCACUUGUGCCAAUGACACAUGAAAGGCACCCAUGCAGGUAACACGUAAAAAAACAUCCAGUACACUCUCUGGAGUAGUUUGGCAUUAGGAAGGGCAUCCAACUGUGGAAACAGCUAAAUCAGACUGGAACUUGGUGCAGCUCUCUGGUUUACCAGCUCCAGUCAAAGCGUCCUACUCAUGCCAGCAUGGAAAAUGGACACUAAAUGAUAUAAAAAAAAAAAAUAUUGAGGAUCAACAACAUCUGUCCAUGACAUUCCAUCUCUUUUACUAUAUCUGAGGAAUAUAUGGUCACAUUAUCUAGGGUCUCCUAAAGGCGGUCAGCUUCCAAGAUUGUUACCCCACUGGACAAAAUGCUUAGCAGAUUUUCAGUUGUUUUUAUGUUCUAAGUUCCAGUUCUUCCAUGGCCAAUUUUUUUUUAAUCUUUUUGGCGUCAGUAAAAUAAAUACUGGUCAUGAACUGGGGUUGAUGUAAUUGACUUAACCCCUCCUCCAGAAUUGUUGGCCUUGUGCCAAAAUUUGAAACCAAUAUUAAUAUAUAGUCCCACUGCUUGGUACCUUGGGCAAAUGUCUUAUACUACAGCCUCGGGUCAACAAAAGCCUUAGGAGUGGAUUUGUUAGACGAUGUCCUGAAAAUUCCAUUCAGCCUUGGCUUUGUUGUCUCAUUUUAUUUAACACAUACAUGCUCAUACAAGACCUGCAUUAGACUCCUCACUCGUAUCAUUAUUGAACUCAGAGUUUAACUGCAGUCCUUCCAUAGCAUUUACACAGCGUUACCUGCCACCUUGGGUCUUCUUGAUAGCAAUACCUCUCAUUUGUGUGUGUGUGUGUGUAUUGAGGCGCAAUGGCUCUGUGGUUAGGGCAGCGAACUCGCAGUCAUAGGAUCAUGGUUUCAAUUCCCUGGGCAUUGUGAGUGUUUAUUGAGUGUAAACACCUAAAGCUCCACGUGGCUCCAGCAGCAGCAGGUGGUGGUGAUCCCUGCUGUAUUCUUUCACCACAACUUUCACUCUUUCUUCUGUUGGUCUGCUCACUUAGCCAGCGGGGUGGCGUCAUUUGAAGGCUAAAGCAAUGCGAAGCGCAUUGUGACCAGCGAUGUAUAGCAACAUCUGAUAGCCUGGUCGGUCACGUGAUCACAUGAUAUAUAUAUAUAUAUAUAUUAUCGGCGCCUCCGUCUCUGACCCCUCUACUAUUGGCAUCUCUGACACUGACUCCCCUAUGUAAUUAAGUGAUUGUGGUCUAUUUUACUGUCUCCAACUACCUCUUAAUUGUUUCCGACUCCACGACUCCAACUCUAUGACUCCGACUCCAUGACUCCGACUCUCCAACUCUGACCCCACAGACCUGGUGAUAAUGAUGUUGACAAUAGUAGUGAUGUUGAUGGUGAUGAUGUUUAGUGAUGGUUAUAAUGCUGCUGCUGCUGAUGAAAAUGAUGGCUUUGAUGGUGAUGCUGAUGCUGAUGAUGAUGCUGAUGAAAGCAACAACAACCCAAAAUAGCAGACUCCAGCAUAUUUCCCUUCUAGGUGGGAAUGGUAAAAUAUCCCUGCUGAGUAAAGAUUAAUAUAAAAAGGAUACGUGGGGGGUUGUGUGUAUAUGCGCAUAUCUAGGUGGCUUAUGUGUAUGCAUUUGUGUGUGUAUGUAUGUUACAUAUGUGUGUAUUUUUGUCUGUUUGUGUUUAUGUGUGACACAGGAAGGGAAAGAAUGUGGUUUAAUGUGUACGUGUGUGUGUGUGUGGGUGUGUGCAUGUUAGUAUGUGAUUAUACAUGUAUGUAUUUAUUUUUGUUUAUUUGUUUUAUGUGUGUGUGUGUGUGUGUGUGUGUGUGCAAGUGAGAGAAAGAAAAAGAACAAGAAUGUGGUGUUAUAUAUGAAUGUGUAUACAUGUGUAUAUAUGUGUGUAUAUAUGUCUAUAUAUAUAUAUAUGUAUAUGAAUAUGUGUGUCUAUAUAUGUAUGUACAUGUGUGUAUGUAUAUAUGUACAUGUGUAUGUGACUGUAUAUGUGUGUAUGUACUUAUGAACAUGUAUGUACAUGUAUAUGUGUGUAUGUAUAUAUGUACAUGCAUGUCUGUAUUUAUAUGUGUGUAUGUAUAUAUGUACACUUGUGUGUAUUUAUAUGUGUGUAUGUAUAUAUGUACACGUGUGUGCGUAUGUAUGUAUAUGUACACGUGUGUAUAUAUGUAUAUAUAUAUGUACAUAUGUGUGUGUAUAUGUAUGUAUAUAUACAUGUGUAUAUAUAUAUAUAUGUAUAUGUACAUAUGUGUGUGUAUAUAUAUUUAUGUAUGUAUUUAAGUAUAUGUGCAUGUGUGUGUAUGUGUUUAUUUGUGCUGUAGUAUUCCUGUAGAUGGUUACUUCCCCAUGUGUAUACAUGUGUAUAUGUAUGUGUCUAUAUAUUUGCACUUUUAUGUGUGUAUGUGUAACUAUGAAGUGCACUACAUUCUUUUUAUAUAACUAUGUGAAUAUGUUUCCUUGCGUGUGUUAUUUUUAUUACUAAAUUUUGUCAGACAUAUGAGGAGGCUGUCCCAUCAUGUGUGACUCAUAUUUUGUUAGCUGCAACAAAUUAUGCACUUUGAAUGCAUCGCAAUAUGGGGGGUACUAGAUGCAUGUUUGUGUGGCGAUGUUUGCAUUUUAUUCUAUAUAUGUAUAUGCUUUUUUUCUUCAACAUUUUGUUAACUUACUUCUUAUUUCCUGCUUUAAUUACAUUACUGCGCAAUUAAUUAAUUAGUUGACAAUUUCAUCAUGGGUCACACAUGAAAAAUGUGUGUGCAGAUGGGGUGGGGUUCAACCCUAACCUUUUAUUCAGUACCCCAACCCUGAACCACCCACUGAUCCCACAUGUGCAUCAUGUUUGGAAUCUAGUUGAAUAGUUGAAUGGCAGGAAAGUUGUACAGCCUUUGCCCGGUGGUUAAAGAAGUCCUUUUCGCAGUCAUGUUUGGGAGUUCAGUCCCACAGCUUGGUACUUUGGCCAGGUGUUUUAUAUGCAGGUGAAGACUUUUGAAUGAUAUUGUCACAAGUGUGGCUGUGUGGUAAUUAGCUUGCUUCCCAACCACAUGGUUUUGGGUUCAGUCCCACUGUGUGGCACUUGGUAGCGCAUCAUAUUUACAUGUAUAUAUGUGUGUAUAUGUAUAUAUUUGUGUAUGUGUGUCUUUGUGCCUCUGUUCUCCACCCCAUUCACUGCUUAACAACCAGUAUUGGUGUGUUUAUGUCCCUGUGGUUUAGCAGUUUGGUUAAAGAAACUCAUAGAAUAAGAUCCAGGCUGCAAAAAAAAAAAAACAAACAAAUAAUGAUGGUUAAUUAAUUCUGUUAAAAUUCUUCAAGGUGAUGCCCCAGCAUGGCCGUAGUCUAAUGAAUGAAACAGGUAAAAAGUAAAAGAUAACAGAUGGUUAAGGUCAUGAGAUGGAUUGUAUAGUACGGUUGUGCUCGAGUGGUGAACUCAUUCCAGAAAUGAAAGACCAGCUUCAGUGUGGAGGUACGUGGCUAAGUGGUUAGGGUGUUGGAUUCAUGAUCAUAAGAUUGUGGUUUCCAUUCCUGUACCAGUGGAGGCACAAUGGCCCAGUGGUUAGGGCAGCAGACACGCGGUCGGAGGAUCGCGGUUUCGAUUCCCAGACUGGGCGUUGUGUGUGUUUAUUGAGCGAAAACACCUAAAAGCUCCACGAAGCUCUGGCAGGGGGUGAUGGCAACCGCUAUUGUACUCUUUCAUCACAACUUUCUCUCAUUCUCUCUCUUCCUGUUUCUUGAGUAACACUGCGAUGGACUGGCACCCGUCCAGCUAGGGGGAACACAUACACCACAGAUCUAUGUCCUUCAAUAAAUCAUUCAUCAUCAUCAUCAUCAUCAUCCUCCUUCCUGGCAUGAGUUCGACGGUUUAAUUGGAGCUGAUGAUCCAGGGAGCUGCACCAGGUUCUAUUCUGAUCUUGCAUGGUUUCCACGGCCGGAUGCCCAGGAGUGUAAUGGGUGCUUUUAUGUGCCACCAGCACAGGUACUGUUUAGAUGAUACCAGCAACGACCACAACUACGAUUCACAGCUGGGUGCCAUUUCCAUGGCACUGCUAGCAACCACAAUUCCUGGAUGCCAAUUCUUUCACCAAUAUGUUAUGGGGAGAUUUGAAAAGGAAUUGGUUGCUAUUUCUAGCUGAUCAAGCAUUUACAGACUGCUCUCCAGCUCUGUUGUUACUAGUGGAUAUAUAUGUAAAUGUGAAUGUCUUUGUGUAUAUGUAUGUGUAUCACACAUAUGCGCACACACAUACAUGCACAUUCUGCACACACACACACAGGCACACUCUCUCACAUAUAAAUAUAUAUAUAUAUAUAUGUGUGUGUAAAUAUUAAUGUGGUUGUAGAGUCAAGUUUUGGCUGCUAUUUCAAGCAUGGUGGUAUCUCUUAGAUACCCUAAAUUAUAAUUUCAAUAAUAAUUAUUACCUUUAAAGGUUUUUAUUUCCAUGCUGGCCACUUGAUAAGAUCAAUAUUUAAAUAACGAUCUUAUCCUUAUUUAUAUAAAUAUAUCUAUAAAUAGAUAUAUUUAUACAUGACUAUGUUUAUAUAAAUACAUAUAUACACACACACACUUUCUUAUCACUAUUUUUAUUUAUUUGUACAUCCUGGGCCUCAUGCAGGCGAGGUGGCCAAGUUUCUUGCGAGUGUUGGGCCUCAAAGAGGCAAUGACCAAGACAAUUGGCAUUAUGUCGGGCUUGAGAAAAAGACCCAUCAAACCAAGCAAAAUUGCAGUUGUGGCAGAUAUUGGUGUCAUGUCAAUAGUACCCAUGCUGGUGGCACAUAAAAGCACCCAUUACACUUUCAGAGUGGUUGGCAUUAGGAAGGGCAUCCAGCUGUAGAAAACCAUGCCAAAUCAGACUGGAGCCUGGUGCAAGCUUCCAGCACAGCAGUGCAGACAAAGCAUCCAACCCAUGCCAGCACAGACAAUGGACAUUAAAUGAUGAUAAUGAUGAUGAUGAUGAAUAUCUACACGCAUAUGUAUAUAUAUAUAUGGAUGCCAAUUGUUUCACCAGUAUGUUAUGAUCUAAUUUGAAAAGGAAUUGGUUGCUAUUUCUAGCUGAUCAAGCAUUUAGAGAAUGCUCAUCAGCUCUGGUUGUUACUUGUGGAUGGAGAUGGUGAUAGCAUUGAGAAGGUGGUGUCAGUGAUGAUGACAGAGACGAAAAAUGCAGAUGUUAGGAGAUUUAGUGAGGAGGCGGGGCUUGAAUAUAUUGUCCCACCUCCUCCCAAAAGGUAAAAGAGUUGUGAUAUGAAAUGAACCGGGGUGGGGGUGGGGUAGAGUUAGGGAAACAGGAAGUAAAAGCUUUAAUGAUAUCAGAAAUAGGAAGUGUAGAAUGAACUGUGGGGAGAAUGAACAGAUGUGUGGGGGUAUGUAUGUAAAUGUGAAUAUCUUUGUGUAUAUGUAUGUGUAUCACACACACACUUACACAUACGCACACACUAGCACACUGUCUUGCACAUAUAAAUAAAUAUAUAUAAAUAGAUAUAUUUAUAUAUACACACACACACAUUGCUAUUCUUAUUUAUUUGUACACACAUAGCUGUCGGCAUAUAUAUAUAUAGGCGGUUAUAUAUAUAUAUCUUUUAUCUCUUUUACUUGUUUCAGUCAUUUGACUGCGGUCAUGCUGGAGCACCGCCUUUAGUUGAGCAAAUCGGCCCCAGGAAUUAUUCUUUGGAAGCCUAGUACUUAUUCUAUCGGUCUCCUUUGCCAAACCGCUAAGUUACAGGGAUGUAAACACCCCAGCAUCGGUUGUCAAGCGAUGUUAGUGGGGGGGGCACAUAAACACACACACACACACACACAUACAUACAUACACACACACACACACACACACACACACACACACAUAUAUAUAUAUAUAUAUAUAUAUAUAUAUAUAUAUAUAUACACACAUAUAUAUAACAGGCUUCUUUCAAUUUCCGUCUACCAAAUCCACUCACAAGGCUUUGGUCGGCCCGAGGCUAUAGUAGAAGACACUUGCCCAAGGUUCCACGCAGUGGGAAUGAACCCGGAACCAUGUGGUUGGUAAGCAAGCUAUUUACCACAUAGCCACUCCUGUGCCAUGUAUAAAACACUGGUGUUGGUGUCACAUAAAAAGCACCCACUACACUCUGUAAAGGGGUUUGUUUUAUGAAGGGUAUCCAGCUUUAUGAAGGAAACCACACCAAAACAGACAACUGGAGCCUGGUGCAGCCCUCUGGCUUGCCAGCAUGGAAAAUGGUCAUUAAAUGAUGAUGAUGAUAUAAAUGUGAAUAUCUAUGUGUAUAUGUAUGUGUAUCGCACACACACACACAGACAUACACACGAGCAAGAGAUUCAGAGAAUGUUGUAGCUAUCACAGUAAGCUCAUCUUAUAGACCCGGCUAUCAGUCCACAUAGAAAUUAAUUACAAAGUAGACUAAUAUAAAGGUCCUUGCAAAUGAAAAUCAAAAAAAAAAACAAGCAAUAAAAUUUGUGAGGAUAAUAUAAAAACAGUCGGGUUACGGGAAGUAAAUAUAUAUUUAAACAUGUAACUCCCAUAAUGUCUUAUAACAUCAGCAACACGAAAUGAAUAAUAUAUGUAUAUAUAUAUAUAUAUAUAUAUAUAUAUAUAUAUAUAUAUAUAUAUAUAUUACUCUUAUUUUGACUGCAGCCAUGCUGGAGCAUUGCCUUUAGUCAAGCAAAUCGCCCCCAAGACUUAUUCUUUGUAAACCUAGUACUUAUUCUAUUGACCUCUUUUAACAAGCUGCUAAGUUACGGGGAUGUAAACACACCACUAUCGGUUGUCAAGCAAUGUUGGGGGUGGGGGACAAAUACAGACACACAAACAUAUACACACGCAUAGAUAUGUGUGUAUGUGUAUAUAUAUAUAUAUAUAUAUAUAUAUAUAUAUAGGGAGAAUUCACAAAAAAACAAAAGACGAAGACUGGUGUGUAGACAACAAACAGAUGUAUUAGUAUAACGCUCGGGAAGUGAAAAAGUCUUUAACAUUUCAAGCCUAUGCCGUUCCAAAGAAAGAAACAAGGAGAGAAAAUAAAGAAUGUGUAGUGGCUAGUGAUGUAUCAUGGCAAAUGCUGGACAUAUAUAUUAACAGGCUUCACCUGCUCUUAUAUAUUUAGUCUUCACUUCAAUUUUAUUAUUAUUAUUUUUAUGACCUCUUCAGUGACUCUCUGUCCUACAUAUCUGUAGUGAUGCCAGGUUCCAGACUCCAUUUUGCGAUUUUAUUCUGCACACGUGCAAGUAUCAGACUUCCGGAAGGCCUGCCGGAAGUCCCUCAUGUGCAUGUGCAGUCAUCAGCAGCAGCUAAGCUUGACCGCUAUUCUCUCUCUUCGGCCCCCUUCCCCCAGCUUCUAACCAGACAGGAUGCGACUGAGACCAGCUCCGUGGAGCUGGCAUUCUGACGGCAAGCGACGUUGCGAGUCUGUGAAAAUGCCUUCGUAUUUUGUGUCUAACUACUAACCCUGCUGCUUCCACCCAGGCAUCAACACUACUGACGUCCAGAGAUGGAAUGCUUAUUUCGGCGAAAUUAAUUAUGAUUGCUAUUUUUUCGGAGAUUCGUGCUCCUGCUAUUUUUCCUUUCUACAACUAUGUAAGAUGUGACACACCCUACAAGUACAAAUAUUACAUAAAAUCCUGCAAAUCUCUUCUUGUUCUGCUUACUUUAUUUCUUCCUAAAAUAUAAGUGACCAAAUAUAUAGUGUGUGUGUGUGUGUUUAAUGCUCUUAAUUCAGUUGGCUGCAAAUGAUUAUUUAUCAUAUCAAUCAUCUGUGGAUUUUCCACUGGUGAUAAAAAUAUUCUAUAAAAUUACUCGCUGCUCCAACCUACCAACAUAAUUUUGUCCUUCUGCCAAAGUGCCUAUGUUACAAAACUAUAUAUGUAGAUCAAAAGAAUUCUGUCAUGGAAACAAUAAUUUUAACAGUGGUAAAUUCCGAAAUUAUAAAAAUAACUCUUAAAAAGUGAUUGAAAUUACUCAAAUUUUUCAUUUCUUUAUUUUGUGUUUUUUUUUUUCAAUAUUUUUUUGUUUAUAUUAUAAUUUUAAUGUAGAACAUUAAUGUUAAUAUUGCAAUAUAGAGUACUAAUAUUAAUCUUUUAGUAGUUGUUAUACUAAUAUUAAUAAUGUAUUAGCAUCGUAUUGUAGGGUACUAGAAUUUAUAUUGUAAUAAAUGAUACUAAAAUUAAUCAUUAGAGUUAGUUCAAAUCAAUUUAACUCUAGUUCAACCAUUUUAAUACUACAAAGAUGAAAGGGUCAGCCUCUUAAGGAUUUAAGAAAUUUUUCAUGAAUAUUGCAAUUCAGAAAAUCUUAUUGAUUAAUAUUAAUACCCUUAUGCUUUAAGAUCUUAAAAAAAAAAAAAAAAACUGUUUCUGUUUGUUGGUUGAUGUUUUAUUUAUUUAUCUAUUUUGGUAGUGGUGGUGGUGGUGGCGGGAGCAGGUUAGGUGUCAAGGUAUGUCGCCUUGUUAUGAUAUUGCACUCAUGAUUGCAAGAUUGUGGUUCCAAUUCCACUGGUUUGGUACAUUGAGUUCUUGCAUAAGACUUAACAGUUUAGUAUAAAAAGGCUGAAAGAAUAACUAUCAGACCUUAAAAAAAAAAUAAAAUACUGGGAUCGAUUCACUCAACUAAAAGUUCUGCAAGGUGGUGCCUCAGCAUGGCCACAGUCUAAUGACUGAAACAAGUAAAAGAUACAAGAUAAAACACUUCAUUUCACAUUGCCGCAGUCCACUCAGCUGUAAAUGGAUAACCCUGCAAUGAACUGACAUCAUAGUUAGAGUGUAAUGUUAAGCCAGUUACCAUGGAAACUAGGUUUCCAUGGUAACUGGCCCUGGGACUCCUGAAACUCAAGACAGCAAUGACCAGAGGUUGAUGAUGGUGAUGAUAAGAGUAGGAAAUAUUCAGUCAGCUUCAUCUCCAAGACAGUGAUGUAACAGUUAGGAUAAGUCAUAAGUAUAUGACUGUGACCAAUGACAACUAUAUGAUUACAGUGGUAAUCUUUUCUACUCUAGGCGCAAGGUCUGAAAUUCUUUUUGGGGUGGGGGCGGCAGUCAAUUGGUGUUUAAUUUAUCGACUCUGAAAGGAUGAAAGGCAAUGAUGACCUUGGCAGAAUUUGAACUCAGAACAUAAAGACUGAUGAAAUACCACUAAGCAUUUCACCCAGCAUGCUAACGUCUCUGCCAGCUUGCCACCUGGCGCUGUCUGUAGAUGUUCAUUUCUACUCUAGGUCUAGGCACAAGGCUUGAAAUUUUUUGGGAAGGGACCAGUUGAUUACAUUGACACCAGUAUGCAACUGGUAUGUAAUUUAUUGAUCCUGAAAGGAUGAAAGGCAAAGUACACCUCGACAGAAUUUAAAUUCAGAGCAUAAAGACAAACAAAAUACUGUUAAGCAUUUUGCCUGGCGUGCGAACUUUCCUUAUUUCUUUAUUGCCCACAAGGGGCUAAACACAGAGGGGACAAACAAGGACAGACAAAGGGAUUAAAUUGAUUACAUCGACCCCUGUGAGUAACUGGUGCUUAAUUUAUCGACUGUGAAAGGAUGAAAGGCAAAGUUGACCUCGGUGGAAUUUGAACUCAGAACGUAGCAGCAGACGAAAUACCACUAAGCAUUUCGCCCAGCGUGCUAACGUUUCUGCCAGCUUGCUGCCUUUUGCAGUGAUAUCAUUUACGUAAAGAUUGAAUUGCAAUUUAAUUAGAAGGAAACAAAGUAAAAGGAAAUAAAAAGUUAGGGCAGGGGUUAAGGAACAAAAGGUGGUAGGAGUGGGGGAGUACACCCCAGAACAAAUGAUAUGUUCAGCCAAGCUCUGUGGAUAUUAUUGUGAUGGUGUUGCCAUGGAGAAUGGCCAGCAACAUUUCACUGCAGCAACCACUCCACCCUUAUGUAGCUUAUUUCUCAGAUGUGCAGUAGUUAUUCCAGUAUUAUAAUGUACAAGCAAAACGCCCCCAUCCAAUGGAUGAUGCUGAGUUGUCAAACAUCUAAACCAAAGUUUCUCAAAACAACUUGUUCGACCGUCUCAUAGGUCUCCCCUUUGAGAAACACUGAUUUAACCUAAAUUUGAGACACCAGCAAACGAAGAAAUAAAAAUAGACUUUUUUCUAUUCCAAAGAAAAAUGAUUUUAUUCACACAAAUAUGCAACCGAAGAGUUUAAAGUACCAGUAAGUACAUCACAACAGCUGAUGUACUUGCGCAUACAAAUGCAUGUUCCCACGGCUUUAUCGAUCGCAUUCUCCCCUGGAAUCGAUUUUUGUGAUUUUUUCCAGAUUUAUACAUGCCCUGAUACCAUCGGUAUCUACAUAUCAAAUUUGAGCACAAUCAGAUGGAGGAUGCCCGAGAUCCUAGAAGAUACACACACACACACAGACAGAACAGAUUUUAUAUAAUAGAUCAUAAAUCAUGAGAAGUUAUUGUAAGUUAAACCAUCAUUGCUUUGGACCUAGCAUAUAAUGAUGGCCUUCAUAAUGGUACUCAUGUCAUUGUAGAUCAAAGGAGCUGGAAGAAUAAUGGACAAAGGCUGCAAUAAAUAUUGCUAUUCAACAAGAAAUCUUAUUUAAAGUUGUCUGGAUUCUUCCAGUUCUAGAUAUAUGGCAGAUCUUAUAGUAUCUCAUUUAAUACAAAGCAAAGUUCUCAAACAUUCUGCUAUGCCUAAAUAUCAGUCUUAGUACUGAUCAUUCAAUUGGUUAAUUAUAAAUGAUUACUGGUUAAAUUAAUGUGGCUGAGUAAUACUUGUUACGUAAUUCUUAGGUCAAAUUAGUGUGACAUAUGUAAUUAGGCUGAGAUUGACUUUGCCUUUCAUCUUUUUAAGGUUGAUAGAAUAAGUACCAGUUGAAUACUGGGGUUGAUGUAAUUAACUUACCCCUCUCUUGAAAUUGCUGGCCUUGUGCUAAAAUUUGAAUAUAAUAUGUAACUAGGCUAGGUCUUUCAAUUACUGUCAUAAUAUAUACAAUGGGUUUCUAUAUAAUUUCCCUUUUCUUAAUUUCACUCUCAAGGCUUGGUGCAUUUGUGGAGGUUAUGUUAAAAGACACUUGCUCAACUUUCCAUACAGUGGGCUCAAGCCCUGGACGUUAUAAAUGCAAAUUGAACGUCUUGGCUUUCCAACCAUGCCUGCAUCUGUUUACAGUUGGUAAAAGUAACUGAGAAAAACAGCAAAUAAAAAAUUACCUCCAUAAGAUGUGACAGUAUCAUUUUCCUUUACACUACAAAGUAUAAGCUCAAUCAUGAUGUGUGUAUCUCUCUUCUUCUCUUACCCCUGUUUGUCUGUCUCUCUUACACACACACACACUCAUACUCACUCACUCACUCACUCACUCAGACAUACUCACAGACUGUCACUUGCACACUAGAAUGGUUCAGGCACUGAAAUCAUUGAUUGUUCUCCAAGACUCCUGCUAUUUGAGCUCAAAAUGAUGCUGUUUAUAAAAAUAUAAAAAUAAAUAUAAUAGAACAAAAAAAAUAAUGUUAAAAAAAAAAAAAGGAAAAUAAAUGACAAGUUGUUGUUCUUAAGUGUCUGAACAUCUGAGAAGAUUUAUUUUUAAUAUAAUUAUAAUUUUUUCAGAAUAUUUUGAUUGAUUAUUUAUAGAUUUUGUAAAGAUGAGGUUAAUAACCUGGAAAAUCAUAUCACUAUAAACAGGCGCAGGCAUGACUGCGUGGUUGAGGAUCUUGCUUCCCAACCACAUGGUUUCAGGUUCAAUCCCACUGUGUGGCAUCUUGAACAAAUGUCUUCUGCUAUAGGCCCUAGUUGACUAAAGCCUUGUUGAGGGUGUUCAGUAGACAGAAACUGAAAAAAGCCCAUCAUGGUUGUGUGUGUGUGUGUGUGUGCAACAUUGUGUUGUUCCCCCACAGCUUGUCAACCCAUUUGGGUUUUUAUUCUUUCAUUCUUCUAUUAGUUUGUCAUUUGACUGCGGCCAUGCUGGAGCACUGCCUUUAGUCAAACAAAUCAACCCUAGGACUUAUUCUAUUGGUUUCUUUUGCUAAACUGCUAAGUUACACACCAAGUGAUGGUGGAAGUGGGGACAAACACAGACACACAGAUACAUAUAUACAUAUAUAUAUAUAAAUGAAUAUAUAUAUAUAUAUAUAUAUAAAGACCCCCUUUGGUCAUGAGUGACCAUGGGUUUGCACCUAGAGAGUUACCCUCUGAGGCACAAGUCUGGGCAAGGUUUUUUUUUUUUUAUGGAAGACCAGUAGUCGCCCAUGCAUACCGGCCUCCCCUCUCCACGCCACCAGUGUUAUCCAAGGGAAAGACAAAGGUCGGUACAGCUUGGCACCUGUGACGUCGCAACUCAUUUCUACAGCUGAGUGAACUGGAGCAACGUGAAAUAAAGUGUCUUGCUCAAGAACGGACAAAACGCUUUGUGGUAUUUCAUCCAUCUUUAUGUUCCGAGUUCAAAUUCCACUGAAGUUGACUUUACCUUUCAUCCUUUCAGGGUUGACAAAAUAAAUACCAGUUCGGCACUAGGGGUCAAUGUGAUUGACUUAUCCCUCUGCCAAACUUACUGACCAGGCACCAAAAUUCAAAGUCAAUAUUUUAAGGGAAAUUUUUUUCUUUCUUUCUGAAAAUUUUAAUCCUUUUGUUACUGUCAUUAUUUUGUGUUUCUUUCAAUUAAUUUUAGAUAUAACAACGAAUUUAGUAAAAUAACUUAGUUAUCAUUAAGCUAGUGUUAGGAACACAAAUUGUGACUAAGGUUCGAUGGAAGAUUUUAAAGCAAAACUUAUGUAAAACAAGACCUUUAUACUACAAAGCCAGAGCCAGUUUCAGCUGGGUUGGUAUCCAAAGGGUUUAAGGCCAAAACCAUCUUUCCUUCAGCAUUCGUGGGUUUUUUUCUAUCAUUUUGUUUUCAUGUUUGUUUUUUAUUUUCUUUCAUUCAAGCCAAUCUUGACUUCAUUCUUUAAUCCUUUUUCUUUUUUCUUUUCUACUUCCAGCUGGGACAGGAUCCAAAGUUGUACCUGCACUUUUUUGAAGGGAUAUCUACCUGUGUUCGUAAACCUUACUCCUAGUGACUGAAAUGUGCUGAAUAUUAAAUUCUUCGCUGAGAUUAGACAGUCUCUCUUCAAUUAAAAAAAAGAA